rnacentral:lncRNA from 1 species
CUAAGUGCGGGUUCAUCUAUAGUACUAGGAUUUUGGGGGGCUGGAGCUGACGAACUUCUAGAACUACUAGAGGAGGAAGUGUUGGAGGACAUUUUAAAUUAAAUGAAAAUCCCAAAAUAAUCUCAGAAAAAUUGGAAAAAAUAGGAAACAAGGCGCUCGCGAAGAAACUGAACAGGCGGAAUGCAGAGGAGGAAAAACGGAAGAACAACAAGAAAAAGAAGGGUUCCAAAACUAACCUAGGUUGGUCCGUGA